GACGAACGCUGGCGGCGUGCUUAACACAUGCAAGUCGAACGGAAAGGCCCUGCUUUUGUGGGGUGCUCGAGUGGCGAACGGGUGAGUAACACGUGAGUAACCUGCCCUUGACUUUGGGAUAACUUCAGGAAACUGGGGCUAAUACCGGAUAGUAGCUCCUGCUGCAUGGUGGGGGUUGGAAAGUUUCGGCGGUUGGGGAUGGACUCGCGGCUUAUCAGCUUGUUGGUGGGGUAGUGGCUUACCAAGGCUUUGACGGGUAGCCGGCCUGAGAGGGUGACCGGCCACAUUGGGACUGAGAUACGGCCCAGACUCCUACGGGAGGCAGCAGUGGGGAAUAUUGCACAAUGGGCGGAAGCCUGAUGCAACAACGCCGCGUGCGGGAUGACGGCCUUCGGGUUGUAAACCGCUUUCGCCUGUGACGAAGCGUGAGUGACGGUAAUGGGUAAAGAAGCACCGGCUAACUACGUG
rnacentral:rRNA from 1 species